rnacentral:lncRNA from 1 species
UUUUUCUAACAAAUCAGCAUUAGUCACUUUUUCUCCAAACAAUUUUAAUUUAGAACUAAUUCUGUAUAAUGCUGAGUUAUACUCAAUUACAGUUUUAAAAUCUUGCAAUCGCAGAUGCAUCCAAUCAUAACGAGCUUUUGACAAAAUUACUGUUUUCUAGUGGUCAUAUCUCUCUUUUAGACUUUUUUAAAGAUCGACUGGAUCUUUUAUUAUGAGAUACUUAAUUUUUAAUCCUUCAUGAAGAUGGUAGUGAAGGAAAAUCAUUAUUUUUGCCUUAUCCUGAUUAAAUGCUUUAUUUUCUUCUUUGAUUGUGUCUCCAAGACCCAUAGCAUCUAAAUGGAUUUCAGUAUCUAAAAUCUAAGACAGAUAGUUCUUGCCGAUAAUAUCAAGAGCCACAAAUUCAAGCUUUGUAAGAUUUGACAUU